ensembl:antisense 4933408N05Rik RIKEN cDNA 4933408N05 gene
CAUGGUAUCAAGACCAAACAAACCUUAAUAUAUAGGGAAUCCAAGGGUACAGUCGAAGGAGACACUGUCUUCCAGCAACUGGGCGAUGUGUUGGCAGAGCCUUGUCAGAUUGAACACUGGUCCUAAACUGGGAUUCAUAGGUGGUCAGAGCAGACUUCGUGUAAAAGCGUGGCUGGUGGACAAUAGAGCUGGUGGCCCUCUAGAGCCACGAGGAAGAGAACAGGUUUGGGAAAUUUCGCACAGCCAAGAGUUUGGUAGGAAUUGUUAGGAAGUCAGGCAGCAAUUCCUCCAGAUUAAUAAGAAGCGAGCCUUAGCUACUCUAAGCAGUGUUAACAGCUGUUUGUGGGGCCUAGAGAGAUUGCUUAGCAAUGAAGAGUGCUUGCUGAAUUUGCAAAGCAUCUGAAUUUGGUUCCUCACUCCAGCAUCCAGUAGCUAACAACUAGCUCCAGCUCCGGCUCCAGCGGCUGCCUCUGAGGGCGUAUAUGUAUAUGUAUAUGUAUAUGUAUAUGUAUAUGUAUAUGUAUAUAUACAUACAUAUANAUACAUAUAUAUAUACAUAUAUAUAUACAUAUAUAUAUAUACAUAUAUAUAUACAUAUAUAUAUACAUGUAUAUGUAUAUGGUCUAUGUUUUCAGAAAGUAUAGAGACAAAGGUUCUUGGGGGAAAGUGCUCUUGUGUGUGUGUGUGCGAGAUGUGUCUGUGUAACAGGGUUCCGUGUUGCUCAAACUGACAUUGUACUUGCAUUAUUGAGUGCCUGGUGUGGUGGUUUGAAUAGGAAUGCAAACCUGGUCACCAGGGCAUGCCACCAUUUGAAAGGAUUAGGAGAUGUUGGAGGAAGUGUGUCAAUGGAGGUAGGUUCUGAGGGCUCAAGGACCCAAGUUAGGCCCAGCAUCUUUUUCUUCCUACUGCCUGUGGAUCUGGCUGUAGAACUCUGAGGGUCUUCUCUAGCACCACGGCUGCUUAUAUGUCACCACGCUACCUCCUAUGACCACAAUGGACUACACCUCUGAAACUGUUGCCUUGUGGGACUGAGCAACUGCUAGAUCCUUGGACUUCCAUUCACAGCUGCUGCUGACCAUUGUUGGGAGUUGGACUACAGACUGGAUGCUACACACUGAGUGAAUCACUUUGCUGGUUUCAGGAGAGAUCCCAGCCAAGAGGAGUGAAUACCACUCACAGGGGCAAAGGCAAGUGACCUGCUUGGAGAAACAGUCCACCUGCCCCGAGGAGAGCCGAACACCUUCACACCUUUUUCCUCUUCAUCCAAAGACUAAAAACUAGAUCCAGUCCCUCCCAAAGGCAAAGGAAGAUGGAAGACUAUCAAGUGGAUGAAGUUUCCCAGCCUGCAAACUCAUCAUAGCCUUGGCCUAGCAUCUUACCCAUCCUCCCUCCUCCAUCAUCUGAUGUAGGACUUGCUAUAAAUUGAUGCCUCCUACCUGUCAAUGCAAGAGAAGAUAGCACCCAGUGAAGCACCUUUCUGUUUUAGUUUGACAAUAAAUCUAUUCUGUCUCC